rnacentral:rRNA from 1 species
CAGCAGCCGCGGUAAUACGUAGGUGGCAAGCGUUGUCCGGAAUUAUUGGGCGUAAAGCGCGCGCAGGUGGUUUAAUAAGUCUGAUGUGAAAGCCCACGGCUCAACCGUGGAGGGUCAUUGGAAACUGUUAAACUUGAGUGCAGGAGAGAAAAGUGGAAUUCCUAGUGUAGCGGUGAAAUGCGUAGAGAUUAGGAGGAACACCAGUGGCGAAAGCGGCUCUCUGGCUUGUAACUGACGCUGAGGCUCGAAAGCGUGGGGAGCAAACAGGAUUAGAUACCCCUGUAGUCCCUGUCUCUUAUAC